rnacentral:rRNA from 1 species
CAGCAGCCGCGGUAAUACGAACCGUGCGAACGUUAUUCGGAAUUACUGGGCUUAAAGCGCGUGUAGGCGGGCCGCCACGUCGGUUGCUGAAAUCCCCCGGCUCAACCGGGGAAGUGGCAUCGAUACGAGCGGCCUUGAGGGGGGUAGGGGGAUCUGGAACUUCCGGUGGAGCGGUGAAAUGCGUUGAGAUCGGAAGGAACGCCCGUGGCGAAAGCGAGGUCCUGGACCCUUUCUGACGCUGAGACGCGAAAGCCAGGAGAGCGAACGGGAUUAGAUACCCCAGUAGUCCCUGUCUCUUAUU